AAGAAAGUUGUGGAUAAGGAUAAAAAACUAGAGGACCAUGGAAAUGGAGCUCCUGCUAUCACUGCAACAUUGAAAGGCGGAGGAGCUGGUUCAAGGGAUAUUUAUGAGGUGGUUAGAGAAAUUGAAGUUUUGUUCAAGAAAGCCUCAGAGUUUGGAGAUGAAAUUAGCAAGAUGUUGGAGAUGGGGCAGCUUCCUCAUCAGCGUAAACAUGCAUUCUUGGCUCGGCCGCCCGUUACACGGAGGAGGGCGAAGUCCUCUGCAAAGGCUGGUGCUGCUGAAGUCGUUUUUGUUGAGGAUAUGGGAAUGAAAUCUGGAAAUCUUUCAUCUACCUUGAAGAAGUUGUAUAUGUGGGAGAAGAAACUUUAUAAUGAAGUGAAGGGAGAAGAAAAGAUGCGGAUGACCCACGACAGGAAGCGCCACCAGCUUAAACGUUUGCACGAGAGAGGUGCUGAGGCCCAGAAAGUUGAGGCCACUCAAACGUCUAUAAACACCUUGUCGACCAACUUAAAAAUUGCGAUUCAGGUUGUUGACAAGAUUUCUGAGACAAUAAAUAAGAUUAGGGAUGAAGAGCUCUGGCCACAAGUGAAUGAAUUGAUUCAGGGGUUAACCAGGAUGUGGAAAGGUAUGUUGGAAUGCCAUCAUGCCCAGUUUCAAGCGAUUAAAGAAUCACGUGGUUUAAGCCAUAUUAGAUCUGGCGGAAAGCCUAGUGAUGUUGAUCUUCGAGUGGCUUUACAACUUGAUCACGAGCUUAUUAGCUGGACAACUAGUUUCUCGGGUUGGAUAAGUGCCCAGAAAAAUUUUGUGAGAUCCUUGAAUAAUUGGCUUCUGAAA
rnacentral:misc_RNA from 1 species